rnacentral:rRNA from 1 species
UACGGGGGGGGCAAGCGUUGUUCGGAAUUACUGGGCGUAAAGGGCUCGUAGGCGGCCAACUAAGUCGGAUGUGAAAUCCCCAGGCUUAACCUGGGAACUGCAUCCGAUACUGGAUGGCUUGAAUUCGGGAGAGGGAUGCAGAAUUCCAGGUGUAGCGGUGAAAUGCGUAGAUAUCUGGAGGAAUACCGGUGGCGAAGGCGGCAGCCUGGACCGACAUUGACGCUGAGGAGCGAAAGCCAGGGGAGCAAACGGG